GGAGAUAUGGCUCAGUGGUUAAGAGCACUGACUGCUCUUCCAGAGGUCCUGAGUUCAAUUCCCAGUAACCA
rnacentral:tRNA from 1 species